rnacentral:rRNA from 1 species
UACGUAGGUCCCGAGCGUUGUCCGGAUUUAUUGGGCGUAAAGCGAGCGCAGGUGGUUUAAUAAGUCUGAUGUAAAAGGCAGUGGCUCAACCAUUGUGUGCAUUGGAAACUGUUAGACUUGAGUGCAGUAGAGGAGAGUGGAAUUCCAUGUGUAGCGGUGAAAUGCGUAGAUAUAUGGAGGAACACCGAUGGCGAAAGCGGCUCUCUGGACUGUAACUGACACUGAGGCUCGAAAGCGUGGGUAGCAAACAGG